rnacentral:lncRNA from 1 species
AGGACCCGGCGAGUCAGGACAGAAGCGGCCCAGGUUGCUUGCUAGUUGGCAGACACGCGCAGGGUUCGGGUCCGAGGUGGCUCGAAGGGCUUGGAGGGCGGAACGUUCCUCAGCUUUCCAGAUGUGUUGCUGUCUUUUGGAGUGGCAGGGAGAGGCUCUGAGGCGGUGUCUGGGACAUGAAGAGCUUUAACCAUCAGACAGAAGCCUAGCAUGGCUGUCAUCUGAGAAGCUCUGCUAGCAACUAACUGAAACUGAUGCAGAUACUUAACAGCCAAACAUUGGACUGAAGUUGGGACCCCCGUGGAAGAGAUAGAAGAAAGAUUGAAGGAGCAGAAGCAGAUGGCAACGCUAUAGGAAGACCAACAGUGUCUACUAAUAUGGUCUCCUGGGAGCUCCCAGAGACUAAGCUACCAACCAAAGAGUGUACAUAGGCUGGUACGUGGUCAUUGGCACAUAUGUAGAAGACUGCCUUAACUGGUUGUGGGAACUAAAGGGGGGUGUAGGGGAAGG